GCCAGCGAGGAAGGAGGAGGCAGCCAGAGAGGCCUCCACUGUUCUCUGCAGCAGAAGACCCCUUGCUGCCAGAAACACAUCUAAUCUCGAUCAAGGUUCCCUCUGAGCACAUGCAAUGCUGUAAAUAACCCACUGCUGCAGCUCUGAUGGGUAUUGGUGGGCAGAGGGAAGAAUUGUGAUGGAGAGUCAGCUUCCCAUAUGACAAGCUGUAAACAUGAGAAAUUACUGCUCAGAGCCCACAGCUUACAUCUUUACCAGCUCAGCUUCCAGCUAGAAGAUUGUAACUUCUACUUGUAACUCGGACCUUCCCCCCACCCACCCCUACACUGGUAUCUCUGCGUUGACAAGAUGUUUUAUGGCUGGUACGGGAUGGGACCCCUGCAGUGGAAGUUUUGCUCUGCCUGAAUUAACCUUAAUACCUUAAUACUCAUAACCUUAACUUUAAUACUCAUGUAUAUGUUCCUGCCUUGUUCCUUUUUGUUUUUGCUCGUUUCGGCUCUCCCCUCUGUACUCUGUUUAACUGUUAGAUUUGUAAUUUUACUGAUGGUAAGACUGAGUCCUAUGUUAACAUUUCCUAUUCUAUAAUUAUACACACACACACACACACACAUAUAUAAAUAUAUACAAUCACCAUUGUAUCUUGCAUAUAGAGGAGUUUUGUUUAUGCUGGAUAAGCUUCUGUGUGUAAUCAUGUAUACUCUCAGAGAUGUAACCUU